CCUUUGACGUUAGCGGCGGACGGGUGAGUAACACGUGGAUAACCUACCUAUAAGACUGGGAUAACUUCGGGAAACCGGAGCUAAUACCGGAUAACAUAUUGAACCGCAUGGUUCAAUAGUGAAAGGCGGCUUUGCUGUCACUUAUAGAUGGAUCCGCGCCGUAUUAGCUAGUUGGUAAGGUAACGGCUUACCAAGGCAACGAUACGUAGCCGACCUGAGAGGGUGAUCGGCCACACUGGAACUGAGACACGGUCCAGACUCCUACGGGAGGCAGCAGUAGGGAAUCUUCCGCAAUGGGCGAAAGCCUGACGGAGCAACGCCGCGUGAGUGAUGAAGGUCUUCGGAUCGUAAAACUCUGUUAUCAGGGAAGAACAAAUGUGUAAGUAACUGUGCACAUCUUGACGGUACCUGAUCAGAAAGCCACGGCUAACUACGUGCCAGCAGCCGCGGUAAUACGUAGGUGGCAAGCGUUAUCCGGAAUUAUUGGGCGUAAAGCGCGCGUAGGCGGUUUUUUAAGUCUGAUGUGAAAGCCCACGGCUCAACCGUGGAGGGUCAUUGGAAACUGGAAAACUUGAGUGCAGAAGAGGAAAGUGGAAUUCCAUGUGUAGCGGUGAAAUGCGCAGAGAUAUGGAGGAACACCAGUGGCGAAGGCGACUUUCUGGUCUGUAACUGACGCUGAUGUGCGAAAGCGUGGGGAUCAAACAGGAUUAGAUGCCCUG
rnacentral:rRNA from 1 species